rnacentral:rRNA from 1 species
CCUACGGGAGGCAGCAGUGGGGAAUAUUGGGCAAUGGAGGAAACUCUGACCCAGCGACGCCGCGUGCGGGAUGAAGGCCUUCGGGUUGUAAACCGCCUUCAGUAGGGAAGAAGCGAAAGUGACGGUACCUACAAAAGAAGCACCGGCUAACUAUGUGCCAGCAGCCGCGGUAAUACAUAGGGUGCAAGCGUUGUCCGGAAUUAUUGGGCGUAAAGAGCUCGUAGGUCGUUUGUUACGUCGGAUGUGAAAACCUGAGGCUCAACCUCAGACCUGCAUUCGAUACGGGCAAACUAGAGUUUGGUAGGGGAGACUGGAAUUCCUGGUGUAGCGGUGGAAUGCGCAGAUAUCAGGAGGAACACCAAUGGCGAAGGCAGGUCUCUGGGCCAAUACUGACACUGAGGAGCGAAAGUCUGGGGAGCGAACAGGAUUAGAUACCCUGGUAGUCCAGACCGUAAACGGUGGGCACUAGUUGUGGGAACCUUCCACGGUUUCUGCGACGCAGCUAACGCAUUAAGUGCCCCGCCUGGGGAGUACGAUCGCAAGAUUAAAACUCAAAGGAAUUGACGG